rnacentral:rRNA from 1 species
GGGAAUGUAAUGGGCGAAGCCUGAUCAGCGACGCCGCGUGAGUGAAGAAGGCCUGCGGGUUGUAAAGCUUUUUAGUGGGGAAGAAAAGCAUCGAGUUAAUACCUCAGGGUCUUGACGUAACCCAUACAAGAACCACCGGCUAACUCUGGGCCAGCAGCCGGGGUAAUACAAAGGGUGCGAGCGUUAAUCGGAAUACGGGGCGUAAAGCGUGU